GCCCUGAAUGCACGUCGCUGAGGGGAGAAGCCAGUCUGAAAAGGCUACAGACCAUGUGACUCCAACUCCAUGGCCCUCCGGAGAAGGUGGAGCCAUGGAGACCCUGAAACAGUGCUUGGCAGGAAGGAUGAACAGAACUCCCAACCGCAUCACAGCGUCGCGAAACGGCCAAGUCAAUGCACUCCGGCUCGGUGUGGGCUUGGCCGCCAGCAGUGCGGCAGGACAAUCUCUGAUCUCAAAGGACAACGUCUGCGAGUGUAAGCGGCUCGGGGCUUGAACCUGAGUCCCUCCGGGGUAGACCUUCCUUCAGAUCCCAGACCGUGAAAGCGUCCCCUCACGCCCUGUGACGCUGGGGCAGACGGACCCGCAGGCAGCGGCCACUGACCGCUGGCGUGGCUGAGCUCUGCCCCAGGAGUGCUGCCUGAGAGGAGGGGUUCCCUGGGAGGGUCCCCCACUCUCCCGCCGCCCACGUGCAUCCGCAGCAGUGACCCCCCCUUCCCUGCACCUUCAUCAGCGUCCUGCGGCCCUCUCCAAGGCCCGCCCCGGCCCGCCAGCUCCCAUGGCAGCUCCUGGGACGGCUCCAGCCAGGGACGUGCUCCCCUGGAGGAUCACCCCGGUCACUGGCCUCGUGUCGUUCACUCUCUGCCCAGGCGCUGCUCUGGGUUGGACUCCUU